GACAGAGGGGGGCAAGCGUUGCUCGGAAUUACUGGGCGUAAAGGGCGCGUAGGCGGGAUGGCAAGUCGGUCGUGAAAUCCUUCGGCUCAACCGAAGAACGUCGAUCGAUACUGCUGUUCUUGAGGGUUGCAGAGGAGACUGGAAUUCCCGGUGUAGCGGUGAAAUGGUGUAGAGAUCGGGAGGAACACCGGUGGCGAAGGCGGGUCUCUGGGCAAUUCC
rnacentral:rRNA from 1 species